GCUGUUAUAAGGGGUCAGACGAGGUCAGGGGGGAAAUCGUAAAGUGUUUUGAACAGAAACCAGGACCAGCCUGUGCUAAACACUUCUAUAUUGUUGUGGUCAAUAGUGGAGAACAUCUUUGCAUCAACCCGGAUUCCCAAUGGCUGAAAAACAAGAGAGACCAGGAAAAGUUGAGCUGCAGCUCAACUGACGAGCCAGAAUUAGAUGUUGGAGCAAAAACAAAAGGAAAGAAACAUCGAUUUCCCUUUAUUAACACAAACAUAUAAACUUCUGCUUAAGAAACUUUAGCAAUGCAGAAAUAAUUCUGGUUGUUGGUCAAAAUCAUCCAUUUGUUUUGGUCAAAAGGGAAGCAGAUUGUUUGUCUCUGUAAUUAAACGUGUUUUUUUGUUUGUUUGUUUUUACAUUUGGGAUUAUUGUUCCAGUUGAGAAGUAUAAGCUUUGGUUUGAGAUCAUUUCACUUCUCAGCUUUGCAGCUAAACGGCUCACCUUGGAUGUGGCACUAAAAUGAUCAAAAACAUGCUAAUGUUCGAGCUGGCUAGCUAAAGUUAGCAUAUUAGCAUGCUAAUUGUUAUGACUGUUGCCAAAUGUCCAUCUGAGCCAGCAGGUCAGUUUGAAAGUUUAUAGGAAAACUGUG